AUUGAACGCUGGCGGAAUGCUUUACACAUGCAAGUCGAGCGGCAGCGCGGCCUUCGGGCUGGCGGCGAGCGGCGAACGGGUGAGUAAUGCAUCUGAACAUGCCCAGUCGUGGGGGAUAACACUUCGAAAGAAGUGCUAAUACCGCAUACGUCCUGAGGGGGAAAGCGGGGGAUCGCAAGACCUCGCGCGAUUGGAGUGGCCGGUGUCAGAUUAGCUAGUUGGUGGGGUAAAGGCCUACCAAGGCGACGAUCUGUAGCUGGUCUGAGAGGAUGAUCAGCCACACUGGGACUGAGACACGGCCCAGACUCCUACGGGAGGCAGAAGUGGGGAAUUUUGGACAAUGGGGGCAACCCUGAUCCAGCCAUUCCGCGUGAGUGAAGAGGCCUUCGGGUUGUAAAGCUCUUUCGGCAGGAACGAAACGGUGGGCUCUAACAUAGUCCGCUAAUGACGGUACCUGAAGAAGAAGCACCGGCUAACUACGUG
rnacentral:rRNA from 1 species